GAUGAACGCUGGCGGCGUGCCUAAUACAUGCAAGUCGAGCGAACAGAUGAGGAGCUUGCUCCUCUGACGUUAGCGGCGGACGGGUGAGUAACACGUGGAUAACCUACCUAUAAGACUGGGAUAACUUCGGGAAACCGGAGCUAAUACCGGAUAAUAUAUUGAACCGCAUGGUUCAAUAGUGAAAGACGGUUUUGCUGUCACUUAUAGAUGGAUCCGCGCCGCAUUAGCUAGUUGGUAAGGUAACGGCUUACCAAGGCAACGAUGCGUAGCCGACCUGAGAGGGUGAUCGGCCACACUGGAACUGAGACACGGUCCAGACUCCUACGGGAGGCAGCAGUAGGGAAUCUUCCGCAAUGGGCGAAAGCCUGACGGAGCAACGCCGCGUGAGUGAUGAAGGUCUUCGGAUCGUAAAACUCUGUUAUUAGGGAAGAACAAAUGUGUAAGUAACUAUGCACGUCUUGACCGUACCUAAUCAGAAAGCCACGGCUAACUACGUG
rnacentral:rRNA from 1 species